rnacentral:tRNA from 1 species
AACUGGCAAUAGCUUUCUGCACCUUCGCCUUCCAAGCGAAAUAUUAAAUUGUCAAAAU